GAGGGUAUAGCUCAAUGGUAGAGCACAUGCUUAGCAUGCAUGAGGUCCUGGGUUCAAUCCCCAGUACCUCCA
rnacentral:tRNA from 1 species